UACAGCCCUAAAUAUCCUUGUCGUUCUACCAGACCAACACAAUGGGAAAGAGACCCACAAAACUGUAGCAAGUAUUACUUCUGCAUUUACGGACGACCAAUAUUAAUGCCAGCGUGUGCUUAUGGUCUGGUCUGGUCACAAAGUGGUUCGGCUUGUGUUGAGGUUAAUUCCUACUGGGACGACUGCAAGCCCAGUGCCUCUGUGAGUCCUACAACUGUACGUUCAACAAAUAUACGUUCUACCACUACAGCUCAGUACACUGAUUACACAGUUCCACAAACAAAACUACUUGCAACAGGAAGCAGAAUAACAACCGCACCACCAUCACCACCAACAACAACAAUAACAACAGAAGCAACAACAACCAGAGCAUCAACAACAGAAGCAACAACAACAACAACACCAACAACAAUGACGACGAUAUUAACUAGUACAAUACCCACGAGUACACUAAACCCCAAAAUUCCAAAAGGUAUGUAAAUUUUCGUUAUCAUCACCAUCAGCAUUAUCAUUGUUAUUGACAAUAUCGUUUUAUAGGAAAUGUCUAAUUGUAUGUAUCACCAUCGUCAACAUCAUUAUUUAUAUCGUCGUCAUUGACACUACCAUCAUUGUCAUAACCAUCAUCCUCGUCGACAUGAUCAUCACCAUCAUCAGUAUCACUAUCAUCAUCGUUAUCAUUGAUACCAUUAUCACAAUCACCGCCACCUUUAUCAUUGUUAUCCUCCUUAUCACGGCUACUAUUAUCACCACUACCAUCACCAUCAUUCAGGUAUCACAGUGACCAUAGUUGCCAUGGCUUUCAUCAUCAUCAUCGUCGUCGUCGUCGCUGUUGUCAUUAUGGUCAUCAACGUUAUCAUUGUCACCUCCGACACCGUCAACAAUCCUAGCCAAUGAGGGAGCCCUUAUGCGGUCACUCAGCCAGCCAAAUAUUGCAACCAAACUUCUUUAGCAUUCAAACCGGCCAAAUCAGGCCCAAACACUCGACCCGCUUUGUGUUCAAACUGACCAGAUUCAGGCCUAUCACACUUACCCUGCAAUGUCAUUUUGAAAAUAACAAACACAUCAUCAAAAUCUUGAAGCUUUUAAUUCAAACAAUGUGAAUAAAUAAACAUUACAUUUGGCAGAGUGAUCUGAAUGCUAAAGAGUUACAUUACAUCCUACUAUUUCCAAGAAGGGAAGGGCAAGUGGAAUAAUGUAACCUGAUGCUCUGUGCCUAUAUAUACAUAUAAAUAAAGUAUAUAGCAAUGCUGUCCCAUUGGAUGCUUAUUUAUUUAUAUAUAUGCAUAUAUAUAUAUAUAUAUUAUAUUUUACUUCUUAUGGUAAAUGCUUUAUAUGGAACGUAUAUCAUUUAACUACUUAUCUUCAUAUAGAGAGAAUGUUUCUGAAACCUUUUUCCCUCGUAUUUUCAAACAACCGUUAGCCGCAUCAGUUAUAGUUAAUACACAACUAGACUCAACACUACUUUAGCAUGUUUUCAUCUUUCAUUUUUCAUAAGCACAUUAUGCAUGUCCGAAUACGUUACGUGACACUCACUCCAUCUAGUCUUCUGUUACAAUAUAAUAUUCUUCUUAUGUAUUCUUUUUGAUGCAUUAUUCUUUUGCACUGAAGAGAACAGUAAUAUGUAAUGAAUUUAAUUAUAAUUAUAAUUAAAUUAAUUUAUAAUUUUUCCAUGUUAUUCACAUGUUAAUAUUACCGUUCGAAACGAUCGUAUGCAUGGAUUAAAUUUUUCUUUAACUUUUAACACCUUCUCCUCUCCAUCUUUAAUUGUCUGUUGAGUUUCUAUAGGAUACGUGUUCUAUAAAUGCUCAUAACACACCUUAUACGUAUAUGUGUGUGUGUGUAUGUGUGUGUGCAUGUGUGUAUGUGUGUGCGUGUGUGUGUAUAUGUUUGUAUAUAUGUGUGUGUGUGUGUGUAUGUGUGUAUAUAUAUAUAUAUAAAUGCAUGUAUGUAUAUAUAUAUAUAUAUAUAUAUAUAUAUAUAUAUAUAUAUAUACAUACAUACAUGCAUACAUACAUACAUAUAUACAUACAUACAUACAUACAUACAUACAUACAUACAUACAUGCAUAUAUAUAUAUAUAUAUAUAUAUAUGCGCGCGCUUUCUUUCCUGUCUCUGUUUGUCCGCCCCCGUCACCGCUUGAUAACAAGUGUUGAUGUGCUUGCGUCUCCGUAACUUAGCAGUUUGACAUAGAGACCGAUAGAAUAAGUACUAGGCUUUAAAAAAUAUAUUAGUAUUGGCGGUCGAUUUGUUCGACAAAAAUUCUUCCUGAGUAUGAUGACUAUUGACUGAAGCAAGUAAAAGAAUGAAACAUAAAAUGAAUGUAGUCUUGAUCAGAGAGAGGGGGGGAGGGACCCAGCUGAGACUUUCACCUUGAUCCAGCGGCACAUCCGGAAUAUGAGAGUCGGAAGGAGAGAAGGCUGCAUCAGUAUUAGGUAGGCACUCGUUUCAAGUGAAUAAAUUGGAACAACGUGAAACCCAAAGCACCUUACUCUUGUCCAAAGACACAACGAGCUGUCUGAUUCAGGGAUCGAACCCAACGUUUUAUGAUUGUCUGCCCAACAACCUUAACAAUUAAAACUUCGUAAAUAACGAUUAAGCUGUUUAGCGCAUGUAUGUGUGUGUGUGUGUGUGUAUGUGUGUGUGUGUGUGUGUGUGUGUGUGUGUGUGUGUGUGUGUGUGUGUGUGUAGCUCCUUGUUUGUACUAGAGAAUAAACGUCAAGAAUAUUUUGCGUAUUUAAUAAUUCCGUAGUUGGAUUAUCAUUGUAACAUUCCCACAUUGUAUGUAUAUAUAUAUAUAUAUAUAUAUAUAUAUAUACGUAUGUAUGUAUGUAUGUAUCUAUCUAUCUAUCUAUCUAUCUAUCUAUCUAUCUAUCUAUCUAUCUAUCUAUCUACCUAUCUAACUAUGUCUGUAUGUAUGUGUGUCUACGUAUAUAUGUUUGUGUGUAUUUAUACAUAUGUAUAUAUGAAUGUAUAUAUGUGUGUAUCUAUGCAUACAUGUAUGUAUGUAUACUGAACUAACCUCUAUUGUUAAAAGCAGCAUUGUUUUUUAAAUACCAACAUUAGUAAUCACCAAAAAUGACAAUAUUUUCAUUUAUAUCAGAAAUUCCAUCAACAAACUUGGUCCUUGACAAUAUCAAAAUUUACAAAAAAACAUUUAACAGAAUCAUACUCUUAUAUUUCCAUAUCUAAAGGUGUAUUUUAUAAACAAGAGAGAAAUAGCAGCAAAAUAACCUAUUGUCUUUAGUAACAAAAUAAUACAUAUGAGAUCAGUAUUUCGUUGUUUUGUUUUGUCCCACACACCCGCUUCGAUUUUCAAAACAAAUAGUUAAAUAAGUAAAUAAAAAGGUGAAAUAAAAACAAGGUAAAAGAAUUUAGCAUAUAUGUGGAAUGAACAAAAAAAACAAGAAAAAAACACAAGUGGGAGAAGUCUUAUACAUACAUACACAUACAUACAUACAUACAUACAUACAUACAUACAUACAUACAUACAUACAUAUUCUUUUCUACACCAGGCACAAGACCCGAAAUUUUUGGGACGUGGGGGCCAGUCGAUUAGAUCAACCCCAGUACGUAACUGGUACUUAAUUUAUCGAUCCCGGUAGGAUGAAAGACAAAAUCAACCUCGGCAGAAUUUGAACUCGGAACGUAGCGGCAGACGAAAUACCACUAAGCAUUUCGCCGGGCGUGCUAACGUUUCUGCCAGCUCGCCGCCUUAUUAAAAAUGGGGAACGCCGGUUUAUGGGAUUACGCUAGGUUUCCCGUCUAUAAAGGGCGUAUAGUUAGAUCCCAAAACAUGUUGGCCCACGGCCUUGGGAUCUGACAUUAUGCCAUAAAGCCAAAUCCUUUAUGGAGUGGAAACCUAACGUAAUCCCAUAAACCGGCCAUCUCCAUUUUUAAUAUAUACUGUUCUACAUCUUAGAGUGUGUUUCUUAUUUCGGAUUUUACAGACGAUAUAUAUAUAUAUAUUAUAUAUAUAUAUAUAUAUAUAUAUAUAUAUAUAGGGAGAGAGAGAGAGAGAGAGAGAGAGACUUUGAACUCUGUUGUACAUGCAUACUAAGUUUUAACGUUCUAGCUCAUUUCCGCUGUUUACAACAGUGUUUGGAAGGAAGGUGCGUAGCGUGUGAUCGGCGCGUUGACCAUGACAGAGAACGUUGUUAUGGCGAUACCUGCUAAGAGGCUUACGCAAAGUUGCAGAAAGUGUAUGGAAAGGAGUGUAUGAGCCGCACACAAGUGUACGAGUGGUUCAGACGUUUCCAAGAUGGCCGAAAAAAUGUCGCUAUUGACGAACAUUCUGAGAGACCCGCAGCCAGCAGAACUGAGGAAAACAUCGCAGAUGUGCGUGCAGCUGCGAGACGAAAUUGUCGAAUCUCCAUCUGUGAGUUAUCAGAGCAUGUGCAGAUUAGUUGCAGUUCAGUUCAGUUCAUUAUCACUGAAGAUUUGGGUAUGAGACGCGUAUCUGCCAAGUUUGUGUCAAAACUGCUUUCAGAUGACCAAAAAGACACUCGGGCUUCAGUUGCACAAGAUCUCCUUGAUUGAGUCGAGAACGAUGAAAACGUUUUGAAAACUUUGUGUGGGCCUCUGAGCAGGUAUCUCCAAGCUUUUGGCAAAAGUUAAUGCAGAUUCUCUGCUCUACUUUCUAUGUUAUUGUGAAUGCGACGAUCACACGCUACACACCUUCCCUCCAAGCACUGGUGUAAACAGCGAAGGUGAGAUGGAACGUUAAAACUUAGUGCGUAUGCACAGCAGUGUUCAGGGUCAAUCUGUACCAAGCGGCUUCACUGUCCAUGCCUUAGCUUCGUUAAUAUAGCACAGACUAUAUAUAUAUAUAUAUACAUAUAUUACAUAUAUACAUAUAUAUACAUAUAUACAUACAUACAUGCAUGCAUGCAUGCAUACAUACAUACAUACAUACAUACAUACAUACAUACAUACAUACAUACAUACAUACAUACAUACAUACAUACAUACAUACAUACAUAUAUAUAUUUAUAUAUAUAUAUAUAUACUUUGGGUAUGGUAGAAAAAAAUUAGAUUCAGAUGAAUAUGGUACUUAAGUUGAGGCACCAGAAUUUAGUACGGUAUUAUCUAUAUAAUUUCAAAGUAAGGAGAUAAAAAUCAAAAUAAGCUCAAGGAUAUCCAGAGGUAAUGCAGUACGAUCGUUUCAUGCAACUCCUUUUAAUUGAACAAUGCAAUCAUUACAUCAAUUUAAAAUGUAGAACAAUCUUCAGCUGCACAAAGACACAGAAUUUAAUUAAAUUAGAACAGAUGGACACAUUAGUAUAAUUAUACCUAAAAUCUCCAAGAAGUUACGGAGAUAGACAAAUAACAUGUCUCUACUCCAGCAUAGAAGUUACUAAAAUUAUCAAGAAGACUCUGCCUGUCACUGAUUUUUUGUCUUUAUGGAGUCAGUUUUAAUUUAUAGACUAGUUUAUCAAAUCCUUUGUACAUCUAAGGCUGAGAGAGUAGAGGGCAUUAUCUGUUAGGGGUAGGGCUGAGGGAGUAGACACACAUUCUAGUUAGUAUAGUCAUAAAAAAUCAAGAUUUAUUAUAAGCAAUAUCAUGAGGUUUAGAAGGGGAAAACUUAAAACAAGAUGUUAGCUGAUAAUUGAAGGGGUCGCCCACUAGCAGACUAUUGAUAAUGAAACAGGGGAAGUCUUAUCAUGUGGUACUAUAGUUAAAUAUUUUAAACAAUGUUGCUAUAUUGUAUACAGUUAAAGUUUAUGGUUAUUUAAAUGAUUAUUAAGAAGAAUAUUAUAACAAAAGGAUAGAAAUUUAUGAAUACUUUUGAGUAUAUACCAAAUUUUUACGACAAUAGAGGGAGGAAAAGAAAUUAUCUAGAAAUAGUUUAAUAUUUAUACAUAUUGUAUAGUUAAAUACUAACUCAUCAGAUGGUAUCUGUGAAUAUUGAUUCAUUGGUAUAUACUGGUAUUAAUAAAGGAGUAUUGGGGUAAAGGAAAAUACUAAUUAUAUAUUAAUAAAAUGUUAAUCUAAACAGUAUUUUUUUCAUAAGUAGUGAAUAUACCAGUAUAGUUUUAUAUAAGCUAAGUAUGAAUUUAUAGAGAUACAAAAAUUAGAUUAAUUUUAUAAAUAAAUAAAGGCUAAUUAUAAAAUAAUAAAGAAAUAAAAUAAAAUAAUCAAGUAGGGCAGAACACCAUAGAAAAGGAAAUAAAAUGGGUUAAUUACUAAUACUAUGGUAAAGUAUAUACAGCUUGCUAACACCAAUAGAGAAGAUUUUUAGAAAAAGUAUAAUAAUUCAAAAUAUAUUACAUUAAAAAUUAUAUAUUUACUUAUUUAGCUAAUAUCAAUAAAAAACUGAUGUUUAUAUAUAUGUGUGUGUGUGUGUGUGUGUGUGCGCGCGCGUGUGGCUGUGUGGAAAGAUGCUUGCUUCCCUACCACAUGGUUCUGGGUUCAGCCCCACUGAGUGGCACCUUGUCACGUGCCUUCUCCAAUAGCCUUGGGCCGACCAAAGCCUUGUGAGUGAAUUUUGUAAACCGAAACUGAAAGACGACCGCCAUGUGUGUGUGUGUGUGUGUGUGUGUGCUUGUCCCAACACCAUUUGACAACCGGUGCUGGUGUGUUCACGUCCACGUAACUUAGCGGUUCGGCCUAAGAGACCGAUAGAAUAAGUACCGGCUUGAAAAAUAUCUCGGGGGCAAUUCAUUCGACUAAAACUCUUCAACGUGGUACCCAAGGAUAGCCACAGUCGAAUCACUGAAACAAGUAAAAGAAAAAGAUAAAAGAGAUAUAUCAGAUCAUAAGAAUAAAAUGUCCGAUUUUGAACUGAAAGUUUAUUUUACUUUAUCUCAACAAAAAGCUAUGCAUUUAAUCAAAGUAUGCACCUAAAUUAUCAACACAAUUUUACCAUUUCAUCAUAUUAUCGGUAGCUUAUUUAUGUGGCAGUGAAGAAUUUUGGAGAGCAAGAGGUGAGAAAAUCACGAAAGGCUGUUUUGGCAUCUUCUUCAGACUUUAAGUUUUUCCUUACAAAAGUUGUCUAAUGGCGGGAAAACGUAAUAGUCAGUAGGUGCAAGGUCUGGUGAAUAUGGUGGAUGACAGAGUACUUCCAAGUUCAGUUCCUGUGACUUGAGUAGCGUUCUUUGUGCAACAUGUGGUCGAGCAUUGUCUUGCAAGAGAAUUGGCAUGUCUCUAUAGAUCAAUCUCGGUUGUUUAAUUGCAAGUUCACUCAUCAUUUUAUCUAAAAGGUUGACGUAUACACCCGCUGUAAUUAACUUACCAGGUUUCAUGAAGCUGUAGUGAACGACACCAGCGCUGGACCGCCGAACAGACUCUAGUAGGUUGUGUUUUGGCACUUCGUUGCUAUUCAAGCACCGUGCAAAACGCUUACUUUUGUUGAAAAGAAUCCAUUUUUCAUCACAUGCAACAAUACGAUGCAAAAAUGUUUCGCUUUUAUGCCACGACAGCAAGUUUCAAGACCACGUGACAUUUGAUGCUCGUUCAGAUCGUGUGCUACCCACUUGUUCAGCUUCUUUACCAUGCCGAUUUGUUUAAGAUGGUCCAAUACAGUUGGUAUUGAAACAGCAAACCUUGCUGCUAACUCACGCGUAGUUUGGGAUGUAUCCGCUUGCACUACAGUUUCCAGCUCGUCAUUAUCCACCUUGGUUUCAGGUCUAACACGGGGCUGAUUUUCAAGAGUAAAGUCACCUGACCGGAACUUCUCAAACCAUCCACGUACAGUGUGCUCAUUCGCCACAUCUUCAAAUACCUCAUUGAUGUUUCGAGCCGUCUAUUAUGCAUUAGUUCCACGACGGAACUCAUUUUCAUAAACAACAGGAAUCUUGAUCUAUCCAUGGGUUAAAAAAAAUUGAAUUACAAAAGAAAACUCACAAUAUAAUCAGACGCCAUGAAUUGCAUUACUAUUAGUAAUGAUGUAACUCUUCAAGGAAUUGUCAGGAUAAAACAUUAGAGUUAACGACUGUCAAAUUUGGUGCAUAAGAAUAUCGGAAUUUCAUUCUUAAUGAUCUGAUAUAUAUAUAUAUAUAUAUAUAUAUAUAUAUAUAUAUAUAUAUAUAUAUAGAGAGAGAGAGAGAGAGAGAGAGAGAGAGAUAAUAUAUUAAUAUAUAUAUAUAUAUAUAUAUAUAUAUAAAUACAUAUACAUAUAUAUAUAUAUAUAUGUAUUUAUAUAUAUAUAUAUAUAUAUAUAUAUAUAUAUAUAUAAGUACAAUAAAGUUUUAAUUAAUUCACACGCACACAUUCACACACACAUACACACACACAGAUAUAUAUGUGCGUGUGCGUAUGUAAAUAUAUUUGUGUCUGUAUGUUUGUGUGUGAAUUAAUUAAAACUGUAUUGCACUUAAAAUUUUUGCUUCCGCCCUAAUUCGAAGUAAUUUAUGCGCCCGCAAAACAUUGUCACGCCCCACCAUGGGAAAUACUACAUUAGAUAUUGUCAUCUCGCACACCUUUAAAAAGACGGUAUGUUGAUAUCUAGAAUUCCAGUUCAUUCUGGGCUGACCUAAAUCUAAACAACAAUUUAUAAAUGUAAGACUCUACCUUUUGUCUUUUAUAUGUUUCGGUGUUUGGACUGACACGUCGCUGUUUCUUUUUGUUUGUUUUUUUAAUUAGUUUUUAUUUACUUAGAUGCAUGUGGAGGCAUUGCUGUGUGAUAAAGAAGCUAGGUUUGCAAACCACUUUGUCUUACUUUCAGUCAUUCAACAUAUUCCCCUCUCAGAUUCACACACUUAGUGCAGCGGUCUUUCAGUUUUUCUAAGCUCUGUAAAAGAACUCGUAAGGCUUUUCCCUUAAAGAACUUUUCAGCAUCCUCUCGUCUGCAUGUGUAUAUGUGUAUAUAUAUAUGUAUAUAUAUAUAUAUAUAUAUAUAUAUAUAUAUAUAUAUAUAUAUAUAUAUAUAUAUAUAUAUAUAUAUAUAUAUAUAUAUAUAUAUAUAUAAUAUAUAUAUGUAUAUGUAUAUAUAUAUAUAUAUAUAUAUAUAUAUAUAUAUAUAUAUAUAUAUAUAUAUAUAUAUAUAUUCAUAUACAUAUAUAUGUUUGUGUGUGUGUCUUUGUGUUUGUCUAUCCACACCACUUGAUAACCAGUGUUUUUUGUUUACGUCCCUGUAACUUCACAGUUCGGCAAAAGAGAGUACGAAUCUUAACAAUUAAGUACUGGGGCUGACUUGUUCCCCUAAAUUCUCAAGGUGCCGCCCCAGUAUAGCCGCAGUCCAACGACUGACACAAGUUUAAAGUAAACAGCUGCAGUACUUGACUGACACUUGAUUUUUAUCAUUGAUCCCGAAUGGGGGGAAAACAUAUUUGAUUUAGAUGGAAUUUGAACUUAGUACGCUGCCAUUUUUUCCGAUGCUCUACCGAUUGGCCAAUCCUCUAUCUUCGUUGGUGAUAUUUAGUCCACAUCCGCUCUAGUUUGAUCGAACAGAUCAACGAUGUUCUAACCGAGAUUUCCCCUCUCGUAGAUGCCUAACUUGUUACACUACGCCUUUGAUCAAAGGUUUUCCAACCAUGACCAGAUUAAAGAUAUACUUUUGCUUAAAGACAUACUAUAACAUAUCUAGGUUUGCAUUAUCCAAUAUAUGCUCCCACUCCCACUUUUUUUGGAUUCCCUAGUUUUAUAACUUUUCAGCCGCCGUAUCAUAAAAGAUGUUUCAGUCAUUAUCACUCUCUUUAUUCGUUUUCAGACAGUUUAUCUGAUGCAUCCCGCCUUUUCGUUGUUGAAAGUGUUAUUGAGGUUGUUUAACCCAGACCAUACUUUACAGUGCAGACUGGUGAUUAAAUGUUUACCAGGCGUGACAUUUCCGUUUCAUUUCAGUAAGAGUGUAUAUAGGACUAGAUUAACCAACGUGUUUCUGGUUAUUAUUCCGGUGAUUGUUGUGCUUGUUGUUGUUGUUGCUGUAGCUAAGUUCCAAGCCAACUUUAGUCCAGCUGACUUAUGGUCAUAGGUGUUCUAGCUACGACUGUCCUGUCUUAUUUUAGUUUACAUAACAACUUUCUCAUCUCGUUCUUAAAAUGAUUGACGAGCGUAACAGAACCUGGGGUAAUUUCGCAAGAGUUUUCAGUCGGUACCUAAAGCCGUUUCGUUUCAAACCAUUUUGAGAGUUUUUAUGGUCACUCUACCUUCUAAAAUUGGCAGUUAAACCACCCUCAAAUCAUAAUCUAUCGUCUUUUGAAAUAAAGGAGAGUCACCUUGAAUAAUAUUAUUCGGUAUACAAAUGAGUCUGAGUUUCUUUCGUAGAAGGCUUUUGAUCAUAUUUUUGCUCAUUUAUCUAUGACCUAGAGUUAAAACAACUUUAUUUGGGAACGCCUGACAAAUAUUACCACACAUUAUCACCCUACAUGAGAAUAUAGGGACAGUUUGUGUGCUUGGUCGUAAAAAAAAAAAAACAAGAAAGCAGGGUACAUUAAAUUAUGUAGCCCGAGAUAAACUGUGAAAAAAUAAUAACAGAAUGUUCAGGAAAGGAACAUUUUGGAACAAGUCUGACCUGGGGCUAAGUAACGCUUAGCAACACAGCAUCGAAGAGUGGUUGUAUGCUUCUGAGAGAAAUCGGCAGGUUUCGCUUUCCGAUUAAAACCUGCUGUUUCCACAUACACCAUUAGCUUUCUCACGAAAUUUACUAAUGAUCCACAAUCCUGUACCCAGUUACCUUCAUAAAUAUCCGAUCAUAUUGUCUUCUCUUAGGUUAGUUUCUACUUUUUUGUGUAAUUGGGCCAUCCAGUAAAAUAUCAGUUUUACCAAAAGAGGGUUGCUAGCCUCCCGCUAGGGAAAGGGACAAUAUGAACGGCGUUAGGUCUUUCAUGAGCCCUAGCACUCAUAUGAGCGGAACUUUACCCAGUUUUUGUGGUGUAUAAUUGACCGAGAUAACAACUUUCCCUCCCACUAGAUUAGACACCAGUCCAUGUCAAGGGUAACUUCCCAACUAUUUCUGCAGCUCAUUUAUAACCGAGUGGACUGCUGCAACGUGAAAAGAAGCGUUUUACUCAAGAACAAACUUACUGCUCGUUCAAGGAUUCGAAAGCACGAUCUUACGAUCAAGAACGCAGUGCUCUAGGCAUUAGGCCACGCGUCUUCACCAGUCAAUGGUCCUUACAAUCAGAUUUCCUACGGUAUAACAUAACCCAUUCAGUGAGUAAUGUGAAUUUGUGUACUGAAACAGAUUUUGUUGUAUCUUGGGAGAAUCCUUAUGCCAAUAAUAAGCACACACACUAAUUCCAUUUCAAUUCUUUUAUUUUUUUUUACUAGUCAACUACUUAAACCAUUUAACCAAUUAAUUAAUCUAUCGUUUGAUCAAUUGUCCAGUCAAUCAAUCAGCUAUGUUCUGUCAGAGUCCUUUACUUGCUAAUUCGCAACUUCGUCAUUGAAAUGCCAUCUCUGAUAAAUGGAAAUUGUAUUGGAGCUUGUUGAAACUAAAGUUCUAGUUCAUUAACGUGGCUUUAAUCCAUUACCGGGUUUAAUAUCACUACUUGGCUUUUGAUGCCUUUAGUAGAGUUCCCUGUUGCAAGCAUUCAGGUCAGGCUCCUGAUCUAAGGAUUAUGUCUGCUCUUUCUCUCUUUUUUUCUCACCAAUUUUAGAAGCCAUGGGGGGAAAACCCAGAAAACAAGAAAUCAUAUGUGUUGCCCAUCAUCAUUUUAUUAAGCCAGUGAGUGACAGAAAAAGGUAUGUUUGUUUUACUGAGAGUAAGAGGGAGAGGUAAUUAGCCAUGGUCGUUUUAGUGUAAUAGUGAACACAAUCUUCAGGACUGGAUAGCUACUCGUAUGUGGAUCGAAUCCCGCCAGUGGGCCAAUAUCUUUUUUUCCCUUUCUCAGAACCCACACACAUAUACACAAACAUCCGCACACAUGUAGGUAAGUAGAUAGGUAAAUACGCGUGUGUAUGCAUGCAAGCAUGUGUUUAGCUGCCCGUGCGAGAUUGUGGGGGGUGGGGUGUAUGUGUGUGUGUGUGUGUGUGUGUGUGUGUGUGUGCCUACAAACAAAAGAAAACAUCGCUCAGUACAUUACACCAGCUUCUGAUCCUGGAGGCUUGUCAACUUCGACCUUCUUCGGAACGUCGAUUGUUGGUAUUGUUGCGGCAGAUGUCUUUCGGGAUAAACGUUGUUGUCGAAGGAUAAUAUUCUAACCUCAAGUGGUUCUUACUUCCACAAAUCUAAGAAAUUGGCUCUCUGCUUUGCACCGCCAUUUUCAUUGCUUUGGUUUUGCAGCAAUAACAGUGCACAGCUCUGGAAUAGCCCCACGGUUUUCAAGGAUCAAUAUGAUUUGUAAGCCCGUAUUUAUUUCUCUUAACCAUUCCAUUUAUCGCGAUUCUGCGCUUACCUUCGUCCAUAUUGUGCUAACUAUGUUGACAACGAUCCAGGGUUUAAUAUCACUGCCAAUGUCCCUAGCUAUUUCAUUUGUGUUACGCUAGUCCAUGGCAAAUAUUUGCUCCCCACUUUCAAUCUUGUAUAUCAGGUUUACCUCAUUUAAGGUAUAAGACUAAUACACAUGUAAACAAUACAUCUUGUAGUUGCUUUCGUGAGAGUAUAGAGAAAAUUCUUCUUCCUUUUAUUAACCAAACAGUAAACAAGUGUUCUGGUUAUUACAAAAUGCAAUGAAUUUGCAGAACCUUCUAUGUUCAUUUGAGAGUUUAGUCUUUGCUUUUUCGGUGUCGAUAUGGGUUAGAUAAUGAGUUAUUUAAGGCAGGAUUUUGAAGCUGCAUAACCAACCCUUAUCUAUUUUUCAAGCAUAGGAAUUUUUAUUCCAGUAGAGAAAGAGUACAGAAUUUCUAGUUCUGUAAUUCUUUCUUGAGCUGAAGCCUGGCCACAAUCAAAAUGUCUUUGGCAUCUGUAACGAAGUUCCUUUUCUCGUUUGGCUUUUGUCUCCUAAUCUUUGUGUAUUUUAUUAUGGAUAUACUUACUCGUGUAAAUUCCAUUUCUUAUUGUGAAUUUUUAAAGCUACAAAUGACUGUGAUGUAUUGUUCACACGAUUUAUAUUUGUUUUUUGUUUCUUUUUUUAACUUUCUUGGCGGAUGUUAUCUUUUAGUUUUGAUACCAUUAUUAUGCGUAAGACAGGUCAAGCCAAAAAUAUUUUUGACUUUUAAUAGCGUAUAGAUGAGAGUAAAUAUGUUUAUGUAACAUGGUACGGAAUAAAAGGAGUCCGAUCCCAAGCAAGACAGAACAAAAUCCAAAAGCCUUAAAAGGCAAAAGCGACACCAAAAGAAAAUACAUCUUGUCGGUUAAAUAAUAAUUAUAAUAAUCAGUUUUACUAUAAACACAACACAUGACAAAAUAUAUUAACUGUCAAGGACGAGCCGAAAUUUUUACCUCAAGGUAAUGUCUUGGACGAUCAAACGUCCUGAAACCUUUUGUUGACAUCAUAGAAAGAAAGUAAAAGAAAACCCAUCAAUCUAGUAAAUGUAGCAAAAGCUCAGUUUUGCGAGGGCUCUAUUACAGGCAUUCCUUCAUAAUAAACAACAACGACAAGUGGAUCCAUCAUUAUAAUCGUACUACGGCUACUACUAUUAUAAGUACGAUAAUUGUUAAGUUUCAUGGACGUAAAAGUACAUCGGCUCGUCUUUAAUAUGUGCUGUUUUCUUUUAUUCGUUUGCGUGCCCCACCUUUCCUGUACAAACGUGCGCGGGGACGCGCAUGCACACACACACACACACACACACACACACACACACACAUGGUAAAGUUUGUCUACCAAAUUUCGGUGCAGGUGUAGUAUGUGAUCUACAUGCCAUUGUGAUCUACAGCACCUUAAAUCUAGACUAGCUUGUAUUCUACAUUCAAAAUUUUGUUUUAAAUUUGCAAUUAUAAUUAGAUGAGUGAGUUAAACAUUUAAAAAAUAAACUAAAAGUGUUUAAAUCAUAAAAGUUUCUUUGUUUAUACACCUAACCAAGUAACUGAGUAAAUAGGUGAAUUUUAAAUGUAGAUCAAAAAGUCGGUGUAGAUUACAAACUAUACCAUUUGAACUAAAGUAGAUCACAAGCUAUGCCAGAAACAUGUAUGUAGAUCACAUACUACACCGGCACCCAAAUUUCUCUCAUAAGGCAUUAAACAAUUCGAAGUCGUAAUAGAAGACGCUCACACCAUGUGCCACGCUAUGGAAUCAAACUCGAACCCAUGUGUUGCCAAGCGAACUUUUUAACCUGAUGGCAAUGUCCGCUCUUAAAAAUCAUGCUUUGUGUUGAGGGCUUAUUAAUUUGUUUGUGUGUGUGUCUAUGUAUGUGUGUACACGUGUAUGUACGUAUGUAUAUGCCUACUCAUGCGUUGUCUGUAUUGUAAAGUACAAAUUUCACUAUCGCUCAGCAUGGCGAAGCACGUGACUGAAAAAAUUCGACGACAACAACAAAAUGUCGACAGACAAUGUAUUUCCAUAAUGAAAUACAGAAAUAUCGAACAACAUUCAUCAAAAAUAUUCAUUGAAAUCUAUUCUCGGCGCACAUAUAUAAAUAUUUCAAACAAUUGAGAUAAACACUCUGAAAGUUAUAUAGCGGAACAAUACUGUAUUAUUUCCUUAUUCUCAACGAAAUAUUACGAGAGCCUUUCUAUUCGCAAAAUGUUUGUUAUACAUUUUCUUUUUAUUUCUAUUAUUUCUAUUCUUUCCUUUUCCCUUUGUCUCUUCCUUAUCUCUCACGCAUUAAAAAUUAACCUGACUGUGGGAACCUUCUGAGAAACUAUUCUUUACGGAAAGAGAAAGAGAAAGCAAGAGUAGGAGUGGAGUUCUAUUUAGAAAAUAUAUUUAUAGAUUUAGUUCUAAACAUAGUUACACACACUCACACACACAGAUAUAUGUAUCGGAGUGUGCAUACAGACACAGUCAAACACAGUCAGACAUACAUAUAUAUACAUAGGGUGUGAAAGAAAGAAAAAAAGAAAGAUAGAAAGAGUUUCACGUGUAUCACGAGUUUCUGCACAUGGUAUGCAUAGAGGAAAUUGUGGCACGUUUUCUGACAUUUUUGUUUCUCCGUUUAUUGUUCGUUUCUCCUCGGACCCCAAAUAAAUCUAAGAAAUAAUCAUAUUUAGAAAUUUUUUCCUUAGGGUAUUUUUCUUAUUACCUUUUCACACCGCUAUCAUUCAUUGAUCGUUCGAACAAUUGGAACCGUAAGACUUAGAAUUACGAUUACUUAAGCUUCCCAUUCUUAUAAUGAUGGAGGCAUUCAAAUCGCGUUGGCGAUGCUACAUUAUUUUCCUGUCUUCUUCCACAUUAUUUAUCUAUCCUUAAAUGUCUGCAUAUUUCUUCAUCUCCUUUAAAAAUCACGAUCAUUUAAAUCCAUUCCAACAAAUUGCAUUCCUUUGGCUGUGAACCAAACUAUCGCAUGGCUCAGUGGUUAGAGCGUCGAGCUUACGAUCGUGAGGUUGUGAGCUCGAAUCCCGGACCGGGCUGCGUGUUGUGUUCUUGAGCAAAGCACUUUAUUUCACGUUGCUCCAGUUCACUCAGCUGUAGAAAUGAGUUGCGACGUCACUGGUGCCAAGCUGUAUCGACCUUUGUCUUUCCCUUGGAUAACACUGGUGGCGUGGGGAGGGGAGGCUGGUAUGCAUGGACGACUGCUGAUCUUCCAUAAACAACCUUGCCCGGACUUGUGUCUAGGAGGGUAACUUUCUAGGUGCAAUCCCAUGGUCAUUCAUGACCGAAGGGGGUCUUUACCCUUACACGCACGCACAUACGCACGUCACGCGCAUACAUACAUACAUACAUACAUACAUACAUACAUACAUACAUACAUACAUACAUACAUACAUACGUACAUACGUACAUACAUACAUACAUACAUACAUACAUACAUACAUACAUACAUACAUACAUACAUAUGUAUGUAUGUUCGCAAGGAAACAGGAAUACCAAAAUUACACACAACCUCUUUGUAGAUGACUUGAAACUGUAUGCCAAUGUAUGCAUCAGAUGAAAAAGAGCCUUGAUCAGGUUACAACAUUCUCAAAGGAUAUAAUGUUGGAAUUUGGUCAAUAUAAAUGUUGCUCUAUGGCUGUGAAGAGAGGGAAAACUGUAAACUAGACUAGCAGUAUCUACAACAAUGGCUUAACUGUUACAUGUACCUAGGGGUAGAUGAAAAUAUAUCUUACGACGAUACCUGUAACAAGACACAAGUCAUUAAAGAAUAUUACAGUCGGAUAAGCAAAUUAUGGACAAUUUCGGGGCAGGGGACAAAUCAAUUACAUCGAUCCCAGUACUCAACUGAUACUUAUUUUAUCGACCCCGAAAGGAUGAAAGGUAAAGUCGACCUCGGCGGAUUUUGAACUCAGAAAGUAAUGACGGACGAAAUACCGCCAAGUAUUUUGCUCGGCGUGCUAAUGAUUCUGUUAUCCCGAUAAUAACGAUACUUACAAGUUGCUGGGACUACUUUAGUCGUAUCUAUUUAGGAAUUGGAAUAAAUAUGCGUUCUUGUUGGAAGUUGUGUAAUCUGAAUAAGAAAAAGGGCCCUUAUUAACGAGUAUUUGUUCUCUUCUAAUAAUAUUAAACUAGACAAUAGAAGCAUGGGUUGUGGAACGUAUAUGUGUUAUUUUAAAAUAAUGCUCGCAAAUGUUACAUGCAAAAAAGGGUAAAACAAUACAUGCAUCUGCAUUAAAGGAAAGAUAAAGAAACCUAAUGCGAAGAAGUGAGACAGUGUAUAGUAUUGCAGAAGGAGAGAAUAUCUUCAAAGCAGUUUUAAUCAAACACAAAUACAGGCAUAUAUAAUACUAAAUACACAUAUAAUAAGCAAAAACAGGUACAUACACACAGGACGUACGUCCAAUACCAAUAGCACAUACAUGUACGUGUGUACGUUUGUAGAAGUAUUGAAGAGAAAGAGUUACUUUUAUGAGAAAAUGACGUGUCUAAAAUAUUUCAGAAUUCUAGAUACCCUAUGUCUUCAAGAAGACUAACACUGGGUAUGUUUUGAGAGAUAGUUGUUUGGACAAAAUUGGGAUUUCCUAUGCUUUCGAAAAAAAAACGGUGCAAGUAUAGCUGUAUGGUAAGAAAUUCGCUUCCAAACAAAAUGGUUUCGGGUUCAGCCCCACUGUGUGACGCCUUGAGGAAGUAUCUUCUAUAAUCUCGGGUUGAUCAAAGUCUUGUGAAUGGAUGUGGUAAACAGAAGCUGAAAGAAACCCAUCGUGCGCGUGGGUGCUUAUCUGUGUGUUUGUGUAUAUGUGUGCGUGUGUGAUUGUGUGUGUGUAUGUGCGUGUGUGAUUGUGUGCAUACGUACAAAUAUAUAAGCGUGCGCGAUAUGUGAGUGUGUGCGAGAGCACGACACUCUAUUCCCUGUAUCGACGCCAUUAGUUCAGGUACGAAUAUUGCUAUACUCAUAUAAACUGAACAACUUUAUUCCCGCGAAGGUGAUCUCCCAUAUCAGCAUCACGUGACCGUUAAAUUAAUGUUAGCGAACCGAAAAAAAUGUGCUCGGCCGCCAUGUUAUUUUAUUUGUUGAUGCAUGUUUUCAAUUCAAAAUAGUUGACUAAAACAAAUAAACAGAAGAGAUAAAACAGAUGUCAAGUUUUUGUGGAAACCUAAUUUCAAUCUGUUUAGCUUCGGCUGACGAAUUUAAUUAGUCAUACUCUACUACCGGCAUUAAGCACCUUUCCUUCAUUACUAUUAACAAAUGCGUUUUGAUAUGCAUACAUACAUACAUACAUACAUACAUACAUACAUACAUACAUACAUACAUACAUACAUACAUACAUACAUACAUACAUACAUACAUAUAGAUAUGCAUAUAUAUAUAUAUGCAUAUCUAUAACAGCAUAUAUACACAACUCUUACACAACAGCAUCAUUAAUAAUUACACUAAGGCUAGGCCACAGACAUAUAAUGAAAUUAAUAAAGAAGCUAGCGUUAUCGCCGUGUUAUCGUCUUCGCUAGCGAUUUCAUAGAAAUCAGUACAAAUGAUAAGGACAUAAUCUUCCAUGCUAGAAACUGUCCAUAAUUUGCUUAUCCGACUGUAAUAUUCUUUAAUGACUUGUGUCUUGUUACAGGUAUCGUCGUAAGAUAUAUUUUCAUCUACCCCUAGGUACAUGUAACAGUUAAGCCAUUGUUGUAGAUACUGCUAGUCUAGUUUACAGUUUUCCCUCUCUUCACAGCCAUAGAGCAGCCUUACUUUUCAGUGAAAACGCAAAGUGGGUCAAAAAAUACCGACACAGAGGGUGCUUUCGAUGUGAGCAUGGGGUCAUAUGAUGGAGCAGGCAUUUGCGAUCUUAUUGGAUUUUUUCUCCUAGAUACUUUAGGUAAGACAUUUCCUGACGUAUAUUUCGCCAUCUACAAAGAUGAUGCCCUCGCUUUAACCGCUAAUACAAAUGGACCAGCACAGGAUCAUUUUAGGAAGGAUAUUAUCCAAUUAAUGAAAUACUUCGGACUUAGUAUAACUAUAGAUACUAACCUGACGGUUGUCAAUUUCCUAGACGUUUCCUUAGAUCUAAAUAAGAAUAUUUAUAAGCCUUAUAGGAAGCCCAAUGAUAGACUUAGUUAUACUAAUGUAGGUUCAUGCCAUCCCCCUAUAGUAUUCAAAAAUUUAGUUUAAAAUAUUAGUAAGAGAAUUUCUAGCCUCUCCUUCGAUAAGGACAUUUUUUUAAUAGCGUUGCCCCAGUUUAUAAUAAGGCUUUAAAAGAUAGUGGUUUUAGCGAAAAAAUAAAAUAUACACCUGUUACUAGCCCAACAGUAAAGAAGAGGAAAAAUAGAAAUAGGAAGAUCAUCUGGUUUACACCCCCUUACUCACCCGAAGUGACCUUCAAUAUAGGUAAAUAUUUCUUAACACUGAUAGAUAGACAUUUUCCAGUUAACCAUACUUAUAGGAAACUCUUCAAUAAACACAAUUUAAAAAAUUAGUUUUAGUUCUACUACCAAUUUUAAAAAUAUAAUCACACAUAACACACAAGAACCACAACAAGAAAACAGCUGUUCAUGCAGGAAUAAAAAAUUGUGCCCGCUAAAUGGAGCUUGCAUGUCCGAGACCAUCAUCUAUGAAGCUACCGUGGGCUCUAUAACCACUAAAGACACCGUUUCGACGAAGAAAUACGUGGGCCUUACAGAGGGGAAUUUCAAGGCCAGGUUCAAUAACCACACCUUGAGUUUUAGGCACUGGAACAAAAGAAAAACGACAAAAUUAUCUAAUCAUAUUUGGUCUUUAAAAGAUAAAGGUGUCGAUUAUAACAUCCAUUGGAAGAUUUUGGCCAAAUGUAAGCCCUACACCAACGGCAGCGGAAGGUGCGGUCUAUGCGACAUGGAGAGAUGGCUUAUCUGGAAAAGCAGCUUAGACCCUACUACAUGUCUAAACUCAAGGACAGAACUUUUCGGAUCAUGCCCAUAUGUGACUAAAUUUUUGUUACGUUUUUGGUCUCCUAAAGAAAACAGAUAGAACUUGCUUUCUAUAUUAUGUCCCAAAAAGUUUUUUAUCUCAUUAUACCUUUUAUUAUUUCAUAUAUAUUUUUAUGUUUUCACACAUUAAUUUUUUCUGUACUUUUCUAUCCUGCAUUUUUUCCUGUGCCUAUAUAGAUGUGUAUAUAGAUUCAUUUGUACACGUGUACAAGGCGGUGCUCCAGCAUGGCCGCAGUCAAAUGACUGAAACAAGUAAAAGAGUAAAAGAGUACGUAUGAGUGGGCAGUUUUAGAUGUGUGCGUGUGUACGGGCAUAAGAAUGCACAUAUAUAUAUGGACGUUUUUACUUAGUAUUUUUCCAUUUUUUGGGGGAGGGGGGACAUAUGUAUAUUCAUUUUUUGUAUAUGCGUAUAUAAAUAUGUGCGGGUAUGUACAUAUGGGCGUGUGUGUGUAUGAGUGCAUAGGGGCAUGUCCGUAUAUGAACGUGGUUUUUAUGCUUUGUAUACUUCCUUAUGUUUUUUUCUGUUACCUUUAACCAUGGCUUUUCUUGUGCUUGUGCGUAUAUAGACGUAUGUAUGAACUUUUACGGUACGCAUGUGUGUGUAUGAGUUUGUAUAUAUAUGCGUAUAUAUUUGGCGAAAAAUGCGAGUGAAGAUGUGUACGUUUUCAUAGUGACGUAUAAGUACGCACGUGGGUUCGCGAGCAGAAUUAUAACACAGUAAUUUCCCUUUAUAUAACGGUAUUUUUUCAUAGCGUUUUUCAGAUGGCCAGAUAACCGAAGAGAUGGUGUUGUGGAUUUCCACUUUGGCAUGUGAAACUCAGAGUUUUAUCUUGACUAUUGAGUAAAUUUCCUCUAUUUACAUAAUAUUGAGGUCUCUUUCUUUCUUUUGUUAUCUUACCGUUUUUACUAAUAUAUAUAUAUAUAUAUAAUAAAUCUCUGAACGAGGUAUAAACAGGAGCUGCAGGACAAUGUGAAAUAUAUUUGUCACUUAAAUGUGGCUAACCACUAAGGGUGGAUGCUACUGCAGCUUGUAGCCCCAGGAGAACAUCUUCUCCAGCUGGCUAUUGACAUUUAACUCUUGCUCAGAGAUUUAUUAGAUAUAUAUAUAUAUUACAAGAAAAAAUGGGUUCAAAUGGUUUAAAAUACAUUUUUUAAAAAUUAUUCCCAGUUACUUAAGUAGUUUAACAAUUCCCGUGAUUUUCAAAAGUAGUGAGAUCUGGAGAGUCCUUUAGCUAUAUUAUACUCAAAAUUUUAAUGGGUAUUUAUCAUAGAUUAUUUGUGUGACAGUUCAUGUUUAAUUGUGCUGGUUGUCAAGGUAAGUUGACUGCUGAAGUUUUCUUGUUAUGUAUGUAAAUAUACAUGUGUGUGUGUGUGUGCGUGUAUGUGUAUAAAUACACACACACACGUACAUUUAUACAUACAUACACACGCACAUAUAUAUCUGUAAUGACUAACAACUGAGUGUGUGUGUCCCCAGUCUCUUUACCUCCGGUUGUCAUAUUCUCGAUUUUCCGUUGAGACAAAGGUCGGGGAGCUGAUAGCGUUCCAUGUUUUUUUUCAACUACACAAGAAAUUAAAGCAAUUAGAAAGAGUAUGUAAUUUGCUGGUACGUCAGGAGAACGUCGGGUAAAUUGUCUUGGAGUAUUCGUUCUGCCUCUUUCCGAUCUGAUCUGAAAUACCGCCCAUGUCAACAUUGCCUUUCAUCCUUUCGGGAUCUGGGUCGAUAAAUAAGUACCAGUCUUCCCCCCCCCCCACCCCUCUCUCUCUCUCUCUAUGUUGGGCUCCGACAAGUAUAAAAAGGGUCCAACACAUACUGUUUAUCACAAUGGUGCCUCAUGACUCUAUCAGGGAUUGAGGACCCAAGGCAAGACAAAAUAUAUAUGUAUGUAAGCACCUAAGAUUAUUUGAGGUAAGCAAUCCCAAUAUAUUUCAUCUGAAGAAUAAAUCCUGAAUUUGUUUCACUGGAUUAUAAAUAUCUUACCGAGUGUAUAUCCAAGACAAUUACAUUGAAUACGGAGAAUGCGGAGGUAUUGUUUUCAGUCGUGUUUGUUCGCUUGUUUGUCUGUAGACAAGAUAUUUCAAGAACCGCAGGAUGGAUUCGGAUGAAACUUUCAGGGAUGUUUGGACUCUUGACUGGCACGAAUUGAUAAGAUUUUGGAAUCGAUCUGGUACCGGACAAGGAUUCUGGAUUAUUUUUCCUGUUUUCUUCACUUAAUUUUUGAGAGCAGUCGGGUUCAUUUUUAGUAUUUUCGUUUGUGAGUGCAGUCGAGUAUUUAUUUCAGAUAUUCUCAUUUUAAAAAUCAUCUCUGGCUAAUCGUUGAGAGGACGUUGGUGUUGCCUUGGCAGGGGUUUGCGCUCUCUGAGUGCUCUUGUGUUUUUUUUUAUUAUUUCUUUUCGUUUUUACAGUCAAUUGUACAGCAUAUUUGAUUUAAUUUAAUUCAAUUUGAAAUCUGUCCGACGUUUGCUUCAAAUCACACCAAUAACUGAACUUUGAAUAAAACUGCACAGAAUACUUACCAGAUGAAUGAAACUGGAUGAAAAUCUAAUUGCGAGAUGUCUAUGCAACAGAAACGUUCGUCGGACAGAUUUUAAAUGAAAUGAAAUAAAAUUGACAGUAAAAAUAUGCAGAUAUAUUAAUCUCCGUAUUCAGUGUGCACACACAAACGCACACACACACACACACACACACACACACACACACACACACACACACACACACACAUUGUUCCAUCCAUCUUAUCUAAUGCGUGACGCUUGAAAAAUUUUAUUCGUAAGAAAAAGAAACUUACAAAAUAUUUAUAUGAAUAUGUAUGAAAGAACAGUAUUAUUUCGUUUCAAAUCAAAUUCCGCCGAGGUCGACUUUGCCUUUCAUCCUUUCGAUGUCGAUAAAUUUAGUACCAGUGAAUCGACUAGUCCCCACCCCAACAAUUUCAGGCCUUGUGCUUAUAGUAGAAAAGAUUAUUUAAUUUCAAUGAAAUACUUAUGUCAUAAAUACAUAACUUUGCUGAUAGACUGAGGCUAUAAGACACCAUACGAUAAAUGAAAGAAAACACAAGUAGCUAAUACCUUUAAAUAAGCUAUUUUUAUUAGUUACGUUCCUUAAAAUAACUAAUGGAUAUUUUCUGGUUUACGCAAGGUGUCGAAUAAUUCAAAAAUACCUACUAAAAUCUGUAGACUGGAGUUUUUUAUCAUUCCAACAUGUUGAGCAUACAAGAUGUGAUGGAUGAAAUUCGAACAAUUUUGACGCUUAAAAAC
rnacentral:lncRNA from 1 species